UUAGAUUAAGUUAUUAAGGGCGCACGGUGGAUGCCUUGGCACUAGAAGCCGAUGAAGGACGUUACUAACGACGAUAUGCUUUGGGUAGCUGUAAGUAAGCGUUGAUCCAGAGAUUUCCGAAUGGGGGAACCCAACACAAGUUAUGUUGUGUUAUCGACAAGUGAAUUCAUAGCUUGUCAGAAGGCAGACCCGGAGAACUGAAACAUCUUAGUACCCGGAGGAAGAGAAAGAAAAUUCGAUUCCCUGAGUAGCGGCGAGCGAAACGGGAAGAGCCCAAACCAAUAAGCUUGCUUAUUGGGGUUGUAGGACACUCUAUACGGAGUUACAAAGGAAUAUAUUAAACGAAUCAUCUGGAAAGUUGAAUCAAAGAAGGUAAUAAUCCUGUAGUUGAAAAUAUAUUCUCUCUUGAGUGGAUCCUGAGUACGACGGAGCACGUGAAAUUCCGUCGGAAUCUGGGAGGACCAUCUCCUAAGGCUAAAUACUCUCUAGUGACCGAUAGUGAACCAGUACCGUGAGGGAAAGGUGAAAAGUACCCCGGAAGGGGAGUGAAAGAGAACUUGAAACCGUGUGCUUACAAGUAGUCAGAGCCCGUUAAUGGGUGAUGGCGUGCCUUUUGUAGAAUGAACCGGCGAGUUACGAUCUGAUGCAAGGUUAA
rnacentral:rRNA from 1 species